UACGGAGGGAGCUAGCGUUGUUCGGAAAUACUGGGCGUAAAGCGAACGUAGGCGGCUUUUCAAGUCAGGGGUGAAAUCCCGGAGCUCAACUCCGGAACUGCCCUUGAAACUGGAUCACUAGAAUCCUGGAGAGGCGAGUGGAAUUCCGAGUGUAGAGGUGAAAUUCGUAGAUAUUCGGAAGAACACCAGUGGCGAAGGCGGCUCGCUGGACAGGUAUUGACGCUGAGGUUCGAAAGCGUGGGGAGCAAACAGG
rnacentral:rRNA from 1 species